GAUGAACGCUGGCGGCGUGCCUAAUACAUGCAAGUCGAACGCUGGAAAUCUAGCUUGCUCGAUUGAAGGAGUGGCGAACGGGUGAGUAAUACAUAAGCAACCUACCCACGAAGACUGGGAUAAUCUCUGGAAACGGGGACUAAUACCGGAUAGGUAAUCGGAAGGCAUCUUCUGAUUAUUAAAGGUUAAAACCACUGGUGGAUGGGCUUAUGGCGCAUUAGUUAGUUGGUGAGGUAACGGCCCACCAAGACGAUGAUGCGUAGCCGGCCUGAGAGGGUGAACGGCCACAUUGGGACUGAGACACGGCCCAGACUCCUACGGGAGGCAGCAGUAGGGAAUUUUCGGCAAUGGGGGAAACCCUGACCGAGCAACGCCGCGUGAGUGAGGACGGCCUUCGGGGUGUAAAGCUCUGUUGUAAGGGAAGAACGGUAGAUAGAGAAUAUCUAAAUGACGGUACCUGACCAGAAAGCCACGGCUAACUACGUG
rnacentral:rRNA from 1 species